AUUGAACGCUGGCGACAUGCCUUACACAUGCAAGUCGAACGGCAGCACGGGUGCUUGCCACUGGUGGCGAGUGGCGAACGGGUGAGUAAUACAUCGGAACAUGUCCUGUAGUGGGGGAUAGCCCGGCGAAAGCCGGAUUAAUACCGCAUACGAUCUACGGAUGAAAGCGGGGGACCUUCGGGCCUCGCGCUAUAGGGUUGGCCGAUGGCUGAUUAGCUAGUUGGUGGGGUAAAGGCCUACCAAGGCGACGAUCAGUAGCUGGUCUGAGAGGACGACCAGUCACACUGGGACUGAGACACGGCCCAGACUCCUACGGGAGGCAGCAGUGGGGAAUUUUGGACAAUGGGCGAAAGCCUGAUCCAGCAAUGCCGCGUGUGUGAAGAAGGCCUUCGGGUUGUAAAGCACUUUUGUCCGGAAAGAAAUCCUUGGCCCUAAUACGGUCGGGGGAUGACGGUACCGGAAGAAUAAGCACCGGCUAACUACGUG
rnacentral:rRNA from 1 species